UGUGCCCGUAGCUCAGUUGGAUAGAGCAUUAGAUUGCGAUUCUAAAGGUCAGAGGUUCAAGUCCUCUUGGGCACGG
rnacentral:tRNA from 1 species